ensembl:lncRNA
AAAGAUGCAGAACUGAGGCAGGUACAAAAAGAAGUUGAGAACCUUCUUUUAGAAAGAAACCCCCUCCUAAAAGCCUCUGAGGAAGAAAAGGAGCGUACUCGUUUACAGGUGAGGAGAACGACACCACCCUGCCUGGGAGCCUGAUGGUGUUUUUGCUGAUUAUUAAUUUGUUGUUGUUCAUUUGCUUGUGAAUGUUUAGAAAGAACAACUGGUGAAUCAGCAGAUUGUGAUUGAGCGCCUUUGCAGCAAACUCAUGACCUUUCAGGGAACAACCUCAGGGGCAGCCAUGGAAGCAAGGGCUUCUGGGUACAAGGGCAAGAGACCCAACAGUGUCCCACUGAUCGGACUCAGCCGUGUGUGUAGGCUUCCCAGGAAGAUUCACUCUAGUCCACCUGCCUACUCUCUGGAGAGGGUGAUGGCAGAGUUCAAGAUGCGUGGUCACCUCCUGCUGGCUGAGAUGGAGGAAAAAGAUGAAGUGCACCGUCCAUUCAUGAAACAGCAGGCACAGACUAAAGACAGUGUUCGUGAGGAUGAGGAGGAGGAUGGUGAUUUGAGCAGAGUGGGAUUUAGACACUCUUUAAACCGAACAUGGACCAGCCGACACAAAAAGUCAGCUCUGACAGAGAAAAUCGUAGCACCAGAUAAAACCUGUGAUGGAAGCCCGGUAUUACAACCACAUCAGCAAGCCACAGGUACACUUUUCUCAUUCUUUUGUAUCGCCUUUUGCCCUUCAUCUGGUGUGACAGUCUCAAAAGAUGUUUCAUAUCCAAAGGUUUUUUUUCUUUUUAUAAUGUCUGCAGCUUCUUUCUUCUUCUCAGGGAAGAGUGAAAACCAAAGUCAAAUGAGAAAGGCGAGAAUAACAGCCCGCACUACAGAGAGAAGAAUUCAGGAUCUGUCAGUCAACAUGCGCAUGAAGGAGGAGCUCAUCAAAGUGCUUGACAAAACUGGUGUGUUUACAUAAUUACAUACAGGACUGUGUAUUCAUGCAAGUUAAGAACAAUGUAAAACACUGGCUGAUUUGUUUGUGAAUCAGGGCAACUCUAACAUGUUUAUGUUUUUUUUCCACACUGCCAACAACAGUAAAACACAAGAAAGUGUUUUUGUGUCAUUUUAUGUGACAGACAAGGAAACUCUGUUAGUGGACAGACUCAGCAGACACAGUGCUGGUGGUGAAGAAGCCAGCGUGCUGCAGAGACUUUCCAAGCAGAACCAGCAGGUCCGAGCGGAGAUGUAUCGAAGCCUGCAACACAUGAGGCUGCAGAGAGCUCAGCUUCAGAGCAGCCUGAGAGAGGCCACCGAUGACAGGACAGAGCUCCACCAAAACGGGGUUAGUGCUACAGAUUUGAAAAUCAAACUCAAAGUUUGUGAACAAUCAUCAGCUGCCAUCAGCUCUUUGAAAUGUUGGGGACAGCUGACGCUUAGAGAAAUGCUUUUGUUGACAGGAACACGGUGCAGAUUCGAUCGUUUGUGGAGGUGCUCACCCUGAAGGGACAAACAAAAAGGUAACAUGCUGUCACAUGUUUAUGCCACUUUAAAUUCCUCAAAGGUUUAUUUUUCAUCAUUCAUGUUGACUGUUUCUUUCACAGACUGUAUAUAAAGUGGUUUCUUAUACAACAUCUGACUUUUUCUUCCUCUGUGUCUUUGCUGCAGCUGCAUGACAGUAGUUGGUUGGAGAAGGAGGAAGAAGAGGUUCUUCAGAAGAGGGCAGACCUGCAGGUGCUGGAGGAGGAGCUGAUGAAGAGAGAGGAGGUGCUGUUGCGCAGGGAGGCCUGUCUGCAAAAGAAAAAUAAACUAGAAAUCAAGAAGUUACGCUCCAGUCAGGUGGGCCUGUGCUUUUAUUAGAUUUGAGCUUGAGUAAUGUGGAUUAGGUGAACACAAGGUUGGUAUUGGAAGAAUGUCUCAUUACUUUCCAGGCUCUGAGUCAGUACUUGCUGCAUAUGUCGACACAGUUGGAGUCUUUAGAGGAGCAGCUGCAGAGCAACAGUGUGAAGGAGACGACUGGAGGGGUUACAAUACAGGAACUGGAGAAAGAGAGAGACAUGCUGAAAAAGAGAAGAGACACACUGGAAGCCCAGCUGAAAGACCACAGAGUGCUCUCUGCCGAGGUCCUAUUCUUAGACCUUUAUUCAUGACUUAUGAUUCUUCAGUUUGCAUUUGCUUUUGUGCAUUUUAUUUAUGUACGUCUCCAUGUAGGAGGAGCAUUCCCUCCUCCAGCUGGAGGAAGCUAUUGAGGCUCUGGAUGCAGCUGUGGAGUUUAGAAAUUAUUCCAUCCAGGACAAAAAGAAGCGCUUGUUCAUCACUGACUCAUCUUUGCAUCAGUCACAGAACACUGAACCCGCCCAGCUCUGUGAUGUCAUCAGGAAGUUGAAGGAGCUGUCACCACCCGAGGCUUUGCAG